AAAAACCAAAUGACAUCAGAUGUGUAAUAUGAGGAUCCACUGUGACAUUUACGCAAAAUUAAAGCAACAUGCUUUGACAUCUGGGACAGAGUUCUCAUAGAGAUCAACAGAAAUAUCAAUAAUGAUGGACUUGAACAAUCAGCAAGGCACUGGGAUGAAGUGAGGAGCAUUUUCAUUAAAGAAUUAACUGACAGUGGAAAAUUAACUCAACAGAAGCUUGAUGGAGCACGAAAAACCUUUAGUAGUUUCACACAAAUGGUCUUGGACAAAUAUGUAAAAAUGGUUGAUGGUCUGGAGGAAAGGAUCAGUGCUUCCACUGAGUAAGAACUUAUGCUU